UACGGGGGGAGCAAGCGUUGUUCGGAUUUACUGGGCGUAAAGGGCGCGUAGGCGGCGCAACAAGUCACUUGUGAAAUCUCCGGGCUUAACCCGGAGCGGCCAAGUGAUACUGUCGUGCUAGAGUGCGGAAGGGGCUACUGGAAUUCUCGGUGUAGCGGUGAAAUGCGUAGAUAUCGAGAGGAACACCUGCGGCGAAGGCGGGUAGCUGGGCCGACACUGACGCUGAGGCACGAAAGCUGGGGGAGCGAACAGG
rnacentral:rRNA from 1 species